GAAAAGAGAGAUUCUGUGAGGCCUGUAUCAACAUUCAACAGAGGAAGUUGUUGCUAUUAAAACAAAGUUAAAUGAAAAUAAAAAAUGAAAAUAAAGCGUACAAAUGUAUCAAGUUAGGCUGUAGUCACACUCAUUCAAAUGUAUCAAGCUGCUAUUAAAACGCCGUUCUCAGAAAGGACAAAUUUACCAAGUUAGGCUGCAGUCACAUUCAUUCAACAUUAACACUGUUAUCCACUAAUAGUUUAUUAAUCAUGGAGACAUAUGAGCUGGCCAAAAGGCCCCAAAAGGCUUGCAUAUGAGCAGGCCAAUGGCCCCAUUGCCACAUGAGCAACU
rnacentral:misc_RNA from 1 species